UACGUAGGGUGCGAGCGUUGUCCGGAAUUAUUGGGCGUAAAGGGCUCGUAGGCGGUUUGUCGCGUCGGGAGUGAAAACACGGGGCUUAACCCCGUGCCUGCUUCCGAUACGGGCAGACUAGAGGUAUGCAGGGGAGAACGGAAUUCCUGGUGUAGCGGUGAAAUGCGCAGAUAUCAGGAGGAACACCGGUGGCGAAGGCGGGUCUCUGGGCCGAUACUGACGCUGAGGAGCGAAAGCGUGGGGAGCGAACAGG
rnacentral:rRNA from 1 species